CCAAGUUCGAUCGGUAGCGGGAGCGGAGAGCGGACCCCAGAGAGCCCUGAGCAGCCCCACCGCCGCCGCCGGCCUAGUUACCAUCACACCCCGGGAGGAGCCGCAGCUGCCGCAGCCGGCCCCAGUCACCAUCACCGCAACCAUGAGCAGCGAGGCCGAGACCCAGCAGCCGCCCGCCGCCCCCGCCCUCAGCGCUGCCGACACCAAGCCCGGCACGACGGGCAGCGGCGCAGGGAGCGGCGGCCCGGGCGGCCUCACAUCGGCGGCGCCUGCCGGCGGGGACAAGAAGGUCAUCGCAACGAAGGUUUUGGGAACAGUAAAAUGGUUCAAUGUAAGGAACGGAUAUGGUUUCAUCAACAGGAAUGACACCAAGGAAGAUGUAUUUGUACACCAGACUGCCAUAAAGAAGAAUAACCCCAGGAAGUACCUUCGCAGUGUAGGAGAUGGAGAGACUGUGGAGUUUGAUGUUGUUGAAGGAGAAAAGGGUGCGGAGGCAGCAAAUGUUACAGGCCCUGGUGGAGUUCCAGUGCAAGGCAGUAAAUACGCAGCAGACCGUAACCAUUAUAGGCGCUAUCCACGUCGCAGGGGUCCUCCACGCAAUUACCAGCAGAAUUACCAGAAUACACCUCAGUGUUCAUGGCAGCACUAUUUACAACAGUGCUCCCGAAGGCCAGGCCCAACAGCGCCGGCCCUACCGCAGGCGGAGGUUCCCACCUUACUACAUGCGGAGACCCUAUGGGCGUCGACCACAGUACUCCAACCCUCCUGUGCAGGGAGAAGUGAUGGAGGGUGCUGACAACCAGGGUGCAGGAGAACAAGGUAGACCAGUGAGACAGAAUAUGUAUCGGGGUUAUAGACCACGAUUCCGCAGGGGCCCUCCUCGCCAAAGACAGCCCAGAGAGGACGGCAAUGAAGAAGAUAAGGAAAAUCAAGGAGAUGAGACCCAAGGUCAGCAACCACCUCAACGUCGGUACCGCCGCAACUUCAAUUACCGACGCAGACGCCCAGAAAACCCUAAACCACAAGAUGGCAAAGAGACAAAAGCAGCCGAUCCACCAGCUGAGAAUUCGUCCGCUCCCGAGGCUGAGCAGGGCGGGGCUGAGUAAAUGCCGGCUUACCAUCUCUACCAUCAUCCGGUUUAGUCAUCCAACAAGAAGAAAUGAAUAUGAAAUUCCAGCAAUAAGAAAUGAACAAAAGAUUGGAGCUGAAGACCUUAAGUGCUUGCUUUUUGCCUGUUGACCAGAUAACUAGAACUAUCUGCAUUAUCUAUGCAGCAUGGGGUUUUUAUUAUUUUUACCUAAAGACGUCUCUUUUUGGUAAUGACAAACGUGUUUUUUAGAAAAAAAAAAAAGCCUGUUUUUUCUCAAUACACCUUUAAAGGUUUUUAAAUUGUUUCAUAUCUGGUCAAGUUGAGAUUUUUAAGAACCUCAUUUUUAAUUUGUAAUAAAAGUUUACAGCUUGAUUUUUUCAAAAAAAAAGUCAACAAACUGCAAGCACCUGUUAAUAAAGGUCUUAAUUAAUUGU